ensembl:lncRNA
GAGGCGGGCUGUCGGCGGCACCACCACCGAUGCUCUACCACACUUUCAUGGGCUGCCUGUCUGCAUGCACCUUUGAGUGGGAUGCAGGGGACUCGCUCUGUUGCGGCAGAUGACGAGGGAGCAGCUCAGGCAGGAAGGGGUGCUAGCCCUUACUGAUCUUCUGGUGGACAGGAGAAUAAGUAGGAGGGAGUUGAGCCAGUACUGCUGCAGGAGGACAUGUGGCGUGGAGGCCGCCAUCAGCCUUAUUGAGCGGCUGCUGCAGGAACUGGUGGGUGGGGGAACCUGACUGCUGCUGCCUCCAAGCUCCUCCCUGACUGCUUCCACCAUGCUGCAGCCAGGUGUCCCAGCCUCUCCUGAUGAGUCUGGGUUAUGUAAAUUCAUAAUUGCUGUGGAUGACUCUGGGGUGCCAGGCAUGGACCGAGUUGACAGCAUGGUAGUGUAGGUACACUGGAAUUCGUCCAUUGUGGUUGACUUUAAUCAGUAACUUGCGUGUGAUUUCAUCCGGAACCUCCGUAAAACUUUCCCUAUCGUAAAACGGCAACCUGAUGCGACUUUGACCACGCCCGUUUUGCUUAAACAAAAGGCACGUCUUCCCAGAUGUGACCCUCUCUCUCUCUGCUGGCGCCCACCGGGCAAGGACCUCUUAACCUCUCCCCUCCGGACAUCGACCGAGGAGCAAGCCUCUUUGACCUCCUCUCACCUCAGGCAUCGCCUGCACACGGUGAAGAGCAACUCUCUUUGUUCUUUCGCAACAAAGAGAACUCACUUUUGUCUUACGGCCGACACACGCCUAAGAUCUCUCAUGAGUCAACGAACUGCUAAGUGAGACGAAGUAAGUUUAGCGAAAGCAGCUAACAUUAGACCUGCUAGCUGAAUUGCAAAGGAAAGCAGCUAACAAUAGACCUGCUAGCUAACUCUACACAACGGGAACAGAAGGCAAACUGCAACGAACGAACGGUCAAAUUCUCCGACCUAAACUGCAGUGAAACAGACAUCACAGCAAGGACAACUUUCUCCGGACAGCAUCAUCUCUUCUCUGCCGUUUCAACAUCGGACUCGCCAGCACGACCCUUUUCCCAAAGGACUGAUAAACUUCGAUUGGGCAUUUAGCUAUCCUAACUAUUCACAACCUGGCUAAGCAUAAGACUGUUUACAUGCCAUUGUUCAUGUGUUUCAUAUGUUUUGUUUACUGAACGUAACUGUUUAUAUAUGUUCAUUGUUAGCUGGUAGUUGGCUUCGCCACACCAUCUAAGGGUUAUCGUUAGGAUUGCUUCUCAGACACAUCGGGUCUUGCAUGCAUCACUAACCAUUUCCCUCUUCUAACAUGGCAUCUAAAUCGCCCACGAUUACAUACACAUUGGCCUUCACAUAGCCACACACGCGAAGAGAAUACUCGAACUUCGCGCUGCAUAUAGGCUCGUCCUUGUUCACAUCACAUGUAUGUUCGCGUACGUGCACACAAAUGCACGCGGAACUACGGUGAUCAAACAAAGGAACACACACACAUUCUUUCUGGCGUGCUCCUAACAGCGCAACCCCGAGCCCAUAGGCUCACACACACACACACACACUCCCUCUCUAUUACACAUACACAUAUUCCUUCAAUUAAUUGGUUAGUUACAUUUAGCUAGAAUACAUAUUGUGUGUUAUUUCUUAUCAUUGUGUAAAUAAAUACUUUGAUUAUAUACGCUGGUUUAUUUAAUGUUGCACAAGAAUGGACGUUGCCAACCUCUUCUAUUCAGAAUUCUAAUGACCUUCAACCAUACUAUUAAUAAGGUAACUUUGGUUGUAGUUAUUAAUUUAAUUAUUAAUCAGAGUUCCAAAUUGAUAGUAUAAUAUAUUUUAUGAGACUGAUAUAUUUAACGAGAC